CUUGUUGACUUGGGCUGAGACAUUGGAAAUGUGUUGACGUGGCAAAUUGUCCUUGAAUUGAGAGGCGGCAAGAGGAUUAAAGAGGAAAGGGAACCUCAAAAGUUCGGUUUGGCAAUUUACAUGAACAAGUUUGGAGAAAUCGGUGCCAUUUGAAAAGCUGAGAAGACUUAAUUCUUAAGUUGUUGUGCCAAAGGAAGAUGGCAGAAGAAGAAGAGGGGGAAAGUGAUGAAGUUGCAAGAGAAACAGAAUCUCGGGGAAACAGGGCCCGAGGUGAAGAUUCAAGGUUCUAGGCUAAACUACAAGGAAUUGAUGGCUGAAAUUUUAAGGGAACUUGUGAAUAAGCAGACAGCUGCUUGGGAAGAACAAGCAAACAGCUUGCAAAUGAAUGGGAAUCUCGCUAAAAUUGUAAAGAGGAUCUCGCUCUUGGGGCAAAUCUCGCUGGAAAUAGGAAGGUAUCGAUGGUGUGGUUUGGGCAGAGUAUCGCUGGGAAUUGUGAAGAGGAUCUCGCUCUCGGGGCAAAUCUCGCUAGAAAUGAGAAGGAAUCGCUAGUGUCGUUCUCUUCAGCAUCGCUUGUAAGGCUCUCGCUGGUGAGGCUCUCGCUAGUGUCGCUGGUGAGGCUCUCUCCAGUGUCGCUUAAGUUGAUCUCGCUGGUUCUGCUCUUGGUGAUCUCGCUAGUAAGGCAGUUUGUUGAGGAUGGAAAUUCCGUUGGUUAAUGAGCUGCUUAAGAUAUUUUGCUAGGAAAUUUAAGUAGUUUAAUUGGAGAAAUAUAUUCUUUCAGGCCAUGAAGAGCUAGUAGAAGCUCGUAACCCAUUAAGAGACCAAGAAACUGUGAGUGACUGUGUGAUUUCUUAUUGUUUUACUGGUUUAGUAAAUUAUGAUAUCACUGGAAGUACUUCUCAUGCUAAGUAAAUAAAUGAUGUGCCAAGCAAUAAGAUUAUGAAAUGGUUUCUCAUACUGAGUAGAGUAUGUUUACCAUGGGAUUGAUGUAAAUGGGUUACAUUGUUCAAAUACUUACAGUAGGGUUAAGUAACUCCAUUUUUAUGAUGGUUCUGUAUGAAAGAUGAACUGGUAUUAUGGUCUGAGCACUAAACUGUAAUGUUCAACAAAAUGUUAGUGGCUUGUUGUGUAAUGGAUACUGAAGGACACUUGAGAAGGUACCUGGCCAAUUUGAUACCGAAAGACUUUUAAGAAGGUAUCCGGUCUAAUUGAUACCAAAGAACAUAUGAGAAGGUAUCUAACCAACAUGGUACUGAAGGACACUUCAGAAGGUACCUGGCCAACUUGAUACCGAAGGACUUUUGAGAAGGUAUCCGGCCAAAUUGAUACCGAGGGACAUAUUAGUAGGUAUCUUAACAGCUCGAUACUAAAGGACGUUUGAGAAGGUAUCUGAGCAGGAGUACCUGAGGAUACUGAAGGACUUUUGAGAAGGUAUCCUAGUCAGGUAUAUAUUGUACGACGGUACCUAGUUAUAACUACGUGCGCAUAGGUAAUACGACGUCGAAGGAUUGAGCAAAAGAGUUCUCCAUGAUUAAGGUUGAGAUUGAGGGUUAGAUGUAUUAAGUCAAUGUCAACUAAGAAUAGAGAUAGUCAUACUUCCUUCUAGGCUAGAAGGAUAGACUAGAGUUGUUAAUGCUUGAGAAUGAUCAUCAAUGCUUGAUGUUUAAUAAUGUAUGAGUUUUCCAAGCAUGAUAUACAUGUCUAAUGCAUGCUGGUGGUUCCAUAAGCUAGUCGAAUAUAUUUUAAUUUAGCUAUUUCACCAAAUAUGAAGCAUGUGUUAGGGUUAAGGCUAAGGUUAAAGGAAGCUUAACAUACUACGUUUAAAUAUCUAAACUUCCCAAGGUACAUGUGUUGGUAUUUCAAAGAACAAAUGAGUAGAAAUACUGGUAAGGAAGGUAUCUGAAUAAAUGUACCUAAGAUGUUGACGGCACAUAGUAAACUCCACAUGUAAGUAGGCAAGUGUGAAUGCGAGACCGAGAUAUGGAUCUCUUGGCUAAUAACAGACGUUGAGAGCUAGAGUGGUGUAUGCUCGUUCUCAUCCAAGAUCUAAUGAGUAUUGAUGUAUAGAAGUUGUUAUCUACGUUUAUGUCUUAAGGACGUUGUCUGAGACACCAUCGGAUUGUUUAAAGAGAUCGAUGUAGGGAUCUCUUCUGGCUACAAUUUAAUGUGAACAGGUCGAGGAAGAGGUUUUAUCUGGCCACGGCUUGACGUUGGAAUUAGAGCAGGGUGUGCUCAUUCUCAACUAUGUCUCAAGUUCUUGAAACGAUGGUAACGGUUAGUUCUCAGAAGACGUUUCUGAUACUGCUUUGCCACUCAAAGAGACAAGUUAAAGGAAGUGCAAUUGAAGAUAGUAUUAGCUAGUACACACGUGUCUGAUUAGUGACGAGUAUUCUAGAUGGGGCUCACUAGGUUGUAUUAUUCAUGUGUAAACAAUGUUGCGAAACUCUG